rnacentral:rRNA from 2 species
AACAUGCAAGUCAACGAGUUCUGUUUUGAAAGGUGCUUGCAUCUUGAUUUAAUUUUGAACGAGUGGCGGACGGGUGAGUAACACGUGGGUAACCUGCCCUUAAGUGGGGGAUAACAUUUGGAAACAGAUGCUAAUACCGCAUAAAUCCAAGAACCGCAUGGUUCUUGGCUGAAAGAUGGCGUAAGCUAUCGCUUUUGGAUGGACCCGCGGCGUAUUAGCUAGUUGGUGAGGUAACGGCUCACCAAGGCAAUGAUACGUAGCCGAACUGAGAGGUUGAUCGGCCACAUUGGGACUGAGACACGGCCCAAACUCCUACGGGAGGCAGCAGUAGGGAAUCUUCCACAAUGGACGCAAGUCUGAUGGAGCAACGCCGCGUGAGUGAAAAAAGGCUUUCCGGGUCCUAAAAACUCUGUUUGUUU